ACACCCUCAAGCUCUGCUUGGUGUUGGGCGUCUGUCCCGCCUCCGCGCGUGGACUCGCCCCAAAGUCAUUGGCAGCGGUCGUGCCAGCUUCUCGUGCAGCACAUUGCGCUUCUUGAAGCCCUGGUGGAUCAGCAUCCAACAAGCCUUUCUUUUG
rnacentral:misc_RNA from 1 species